rnacentral:rRNA from 1 species
CCUACGGGAGGCAGCAGUGGGGGAUAUUGCACAAUGGGGGGAACCCUGAUGCAGCGACGCCGCGUGGGUGAAGGAGCGUUUCGGCGCGUAAAGCCCCAUCGGCAGGGAAGAAGAUGACGGUACCUGACCAAGAAGCCCCGGCUAACUACGUGCCAGCAGCCGCGGUAAUACGUAGGGGGCAAGCGUAAUCCGGAUGUACUGGGUGUAAAGGGAGCGUAGGCGGGCAAGCAAGUUGACUGUUUAAGGUACGGGCUAAACCUGUACAAGCGUUCGAAACUGUUAUUCUUGAGUGGAGUAGAGGUAAGCGGAAUUCCUAGUGUAGCGGUGAAAUGCGUAGAUAUUAGGAGGAACACCAGUGGCGAAGGCAGCUUACUGGGCUUUAACUGACGCUGAGGCUCGAAAGCGUGGGUAGCAAACAGGAUUAGAUACCCCUGUAGUC